AAAUGCCAUACACUGGGUAACUUAUAAACAACAGAAAUUUAUUUCUCACAGUUCUGGAGAUUGAGAAGUCCAAGAUGGAGGCACCAGCAGAAUCAGUAUCAGCAUCAAGAACUGACAACGACCAGAAACUGCUGCCAGAGAAGUGGGAAGCUGCUGUAGCAAAUACUUAAAAAUGUGGAAGUGGCUUUGGAACUGCAUGACAGGUAGAAGCAAGAAGUUUGGAGGACACAGCAUUUCUACCCUCUGGAGGAUACUGCAACAAGGCAUCAUCUUGGAAACAGGGAGCAGCCCUCACCAGACACUGAACCUGCCAGCACAUUGACCUUGCAC
rnacentral:lncRNA from 1 species